GAAAAAGUGUGGUGGAACUAAGAAAUGGGUCAUCUGAAGAUGGGAAGGCCCAGUCUCAUGUUUUUGGAAAAUAAAUUAAGGGCUCUUGGUGGACCAAGCCCACUCCACCUUGCAAUGAGUAAAGCCCAGGAAUGCAUGCCUUCAAUUAUAAAAUUAUGAUCCCAUUAAAAUGCUAAAAUAUAUUAUAAAUUAAAAUAAAAC
rnacentral:lncRNA from 1 species